rnacentral:rRNA from 1 species
AAUUAAUUUUAACGGCCGCGGUAUCCUGACCGUGCAAAGGUAGCAUAAUCACUUGUCUCCUAAAUAGAGACUUGUAUGAAUGGCAAAACGAGGGUUUAACUGUCUCUUUUUCUCAAUCAAUGAAAUUGACCUACCCGUGCAGAGGCGGGUAUAACUUUAUAAGACGAGAAGACCCUGUGGAGCUUAAAAUUACAACUUAAAUUAAUUUAUAUUAUACCCUAAGGGAUUAAUCUUACAAAACUUUUUAAGCUGAAUUUUUGGUUGGGGUGACCUCGGAGCACAAGCAACCCUCCGAAUGACAUAACUAAGACUAACACAUCUAAGUGCAACCUAAGCCAGUAAUUGACCCAAAACUUGAUCAACGGAACAAGUUACCCCAGGGAUAACAGCGCAAUCCUAUUU